ACAUGGGCGAGUGAAAAUUCGAAGAGAGAAAUUAGAACAUCAGGUCAUUGACCCACCCUGGAAAUACCCAGUGGAGUCCAAGGUCCUUCCUAGAGAGAUAAAUUGCAUAGAUAAAUAGCAAAAGAGAUGAAAAACCCCAGCCAAAUCCAGAUAGAUUGCUUUAUUUUGUUUGCCUAAGACCAGAGUGUUUCUCACUUUUUAAUUUAUGGUUUUGGUGUCUUACAAAGAAUCUGAAUAUCUGUCCAUGUGUCAUUGCCCUCUACUGGAUAAACUGGGUAAUGUCGCUUCACUCUUUUCCUGGUAUUAUAUCGAACAAUAGCUCCUACUUGCCUACAUGUGGUCUUAUCAUUUGUCAAAAUGUUCUUAGACAUAGAAUUUGAAUUCAUUCUGAUAAUAGGGCUUUGAAACGACUAAGCGAUUUUCGUUCCCAUUUUACAGAUGAAAAAACUGAGGCAGAGAGAAAUGUAUUUAUUGAACACACAUACUUCAAAGGAGCUAAAUGCAAAGAACUACGCCAGGCAAUUUACAAAGAUGAAUAAGAUGGAAUCUGAUCUCCAGGAGCUUAUGAUAUAUUGCAGGUUCAGGACUCCUUCCAUUGAAUUUCAGUGGUUCCCAGAAAGAUGUGUGGACUCUUCUUCAUCAUAACAACCACAGUGAUAAUGAAAAUAAGUACCUGAGUCUGAAUCACAAGGUUGCUAUUAGAGGUGCUGAUUUUCGGUAAGUUGAUUCAUUUCACACUCAGUUACUUCAUCUAUAAAGUAAGAAUAGUAAUAGCCUCAUUCCUGGACCUGACCCUCUACUUUGUACCCUAAGACUGAUAUUUCUUCAUGAAUUCUGUUGGAGGUCCUAUAACACCGCAAUACCAACAGGCAGAAUCAGAAGCUAACUGUUGGUCUCUUACACACUUGGUUUAAGUCACUCUGAUCCUGUUUUAUUUCCAUUUUUCUCUCUCUGCAAAUUCAUGAGUUUCUUGAAAGCAGGGUCCAGUUCUUCCACACCCAUAUUCCUCAAGUGCUUUAGCCUAGACGUGAUGUGCAUGCUGAAUUCGUUACAAGUAGCCAGAAACAAGGUCAGACAAAAAGCUCCCUUUGAGAAAAAACUAGCCUCUGCUUAGACUUAGACUUGCCUGAGUGGGUCUAACCAGAUGGAAACUGUGUCUCUCUGUGGUUUACGUGCAUAGGGACUUUCAGAGGAAAAGCCAUGGGCUCAAUAUCUACUAAGAGGGUAUGAAAUAUACAAGAUUGUUUUCACGGCCAUGCUACAAAGGUUAAAUCACACCAUACAUCUCCAAGUCAUCAGAUUGAUGCAGGAGGAGAGGGUUGCGCUACGUGUUGGAGUUGGAUGCCUGUAGGGGCUGGGGAAGGACCACUGUGCCUUGUGCACUUCCUUAGCUUGCCACCUCCUCAGGCCCUGGCCCUGCCUCGUGCCAGCCACCGAUGGUUAACUGCAGUGCUGCGCGCGAUAUUAAGGGAAACGAUC
rnacentral:lncRNA from 1 species